rnacentral:misc_RNA from 1 species
GAUGAAGAACGUAGCGAAAUGCGAUAAGUAAUGUGAAUUGCAGAAUUCAGUGAAUCAUCGAAUCUUUGAACGCACAUUGCGCCCGCCAGUAUUCUGGCGGGCAUGCCUGUUCGAGCGUCAUUUCAACCAUCAAGCCCCGGGCUUGUGUUGGGGACCUGCGGCUGCCGCGGGCCCUGAAAUGCAGUGGCGGGCUCGCUGUCACUCCGAGCGUAGUAGUUACAUCUCGCUCUGGGCGUGCUGCGGGUUCCGGCCGUUAAAAGCCUUAUUUACCCAAGGUUGACCUCGGAUCAGGUAGGAAGACCCGCUGAACUUAAGCAUAUCAAUAAGCGGAGGA